UACGUAGGGUGCAAGCGUUGUCCGGAAUUAUUGGGCGUAAAGAGCUCGUAGGCGGCCUGUUGCGUCCGCUGUGAAAUCCCGGGGCUUAACCCCGGGCGUGCAGUGGAUACGGGCUGGCUGGAGGCAGGCAGGGGAGAACGGAAUUCCCGGUGUAGCGGUGAAAUGCGCAGAUAUCGGGAGGAACACCGGUGGCGAAGGCGGUUCUCUGGGCCUGUACUGACGCUGAGGAGCGAAAGCGUGGGGAGCGAACAGG
rnacentral:rRNA from 1 species